rnacentral:rRNA from 1 species
AACGAACGCUGGCGGCAUGCCUAACACAUGCAAGUCGAACGAGACCUUCGGGUCUAGUGGCGCACGGGUGCGUAACGCGUGGGAACCUGCCCUUAGGUUCGGAAUAACUCCCCGAAAGGGGUGCUAAUACCGGAUAAUUUCUUCGGACCAAAGAUUUAUCGCCUUUGGAUGGGCCCGCGUUGGUUUAGCUAGUUGGUAGGGUAAAAGCCUACCAAGGCGACGAUCCAUAGCUGGUCUGAGAGGAUGAGCAGCCACACUGGGACUGAGACACGGCCCAGACUCCUACGGGAGGGAGCAGUGGGGAAUAUUGGACAACGGGCGAAAGGCUGAACCAGCAAUGCCGGGUGAGUGAUGAAGGCCUUAGGGUUGUAAAGCUCUUUUACCCGGGAUGAUAAUGACAGUACCGGGAGAAUAAGCUCCGGCUAACUCCGUG